GACGAACCGUGCGAACGUUGUUCGGAUUCACUGGGCUUAAAGGGCGCGUAGGCGGGCGGUCAAGUCAGGGGUGAAAUCUUUCGGCUCAACCGGAAAAGUGCCUUUGAUACUGGCCGUCUCGAGGGAGGUAGGGGCAUGCGGAACUUCCGGUGGAGCGGUGAAAUGCGUAGAUAUCGGAAGGAACGCCGGUGGCGAAAGCGGCGUGCUGGACCUCUUCUGACGCUGAGGCGCGAAAGCGUGGGGAGCAAACAGG
rnacentral:rRNA from 1 species